AUUGAACGCUGGCGGCAGGCCUAACACAUGCAAGUCGCGCGAGCGGCGGACGGGUGAGUAAUGUAUGGGGACUGCCCGAUAGAGGGGGAUAACUACUGGAAACGGUGGCUAAUACCGCAUACUAUCGGAUAACCCAUAUGGGAUUAGCUAGUAGGUGGGGUAAAGGCUCACCUAGGCGACGUUCUCUCGCUGGUCUGAGAGGAUGAUCAGCCAUACUGUUGCUGAGACACGGCCCGUACUCCUACGGAGGCAGCAGUGGGGAAUAUUGCACAAUGGGCGCAGGCCUGAUGCAGCCAUGCCGCGUGUAUGAAGAAGGCCUUAGGGUUGUAAAGUACUUUCAGCGGGGAGGCGUUACCCGCAGAAGAAGAACCGGCUAACUCCGUGACAGCAGCCGCGGUAAUAC
rnacentral:rRNA from 1 species